GGUGGCUCAGUGGCAGAGCUCUUGCCUUGCAUGCAUGAGGCCCUGGGUUUGAUUCCUCAGCACCA
rfam:Dipodomys ordii contig_88435, whole genome shotgun sequence.